UACGUAGGGUGCGAGCGUUGUCCGGAUUUAUUGGGCGUAAAGAGCUCGUAGGCGGUUUGUCGCGUCGGCCGUGAAAUCUCCACGCUUAACGUGGAGCGUGCGGUCGAUACGGGCAGACUUGAGUUCGGUAGGGGAGACUGGAAUUCCUGGUGUAGCGGUGAAAUGCGCAGAUAUCAGGAGGAACACCGGUGGCGAAGGCGGGUCUCUGGGCCGAUACUGACGCUGAGGAGCGAAAGCGUGGGGAGCGA
rnacentral:rRNA from 1 species